UACGUAGGGUGCGAGCGUUAAUCGGAAUUACUGGGCGUAAAGCGUGCGCAGGCGGUGAUGUAAGACAGAUGUGAAAUCCCCCGGGCUCAACCUGGGAACUGCAUUUGUGACUGCAUCGCUGGAGUGCGGCAGAGGGGGGAUGGAAUUCCGCGUGUAGCAGUGAAAUGCGUAGAUAUGCGGAGGAACACCGAUGGCGAAGGCAAUCCCCUGGGCCUGCACUGACGCUCAUGCACGAAAGCGUGGGGAGCAAACAGG
rnacentral:rRNA from 1 species